CUUGGUCCAUUUUAGAGGAAGUAAAAGUCGUAACAAGGUCUCUCGUUGGUGAACCAGCGGAGGGAUCAUUACCGAGUUUUCAACUCCCAAACCCUUUUGUGAACAUACCUAUCGUUGCUUCGGCGGACUCGCCCCAGCGUCCGGCCGGCCCCGCGCCGGCCGCGGCCUGGAUCCAGGCGGCCGCCGGAGACCCCCAAACUCUGUAUUCUCAGUAUCUUCUGAAUCCGCCGCAAGGCAAAACAAAUGAAUCAAAACUUUCAACAACGGAUCUCUUGGUUCUGGCAUCGAUGAAGAACGCAGCGAAAUGCGAUAAGUAAUGUGAAUUGCAGAAUUCAGUGAAUCAUCGAAUCUUUGAACGCACAUUGCGCCCGCCAGCAUUCUGGCGGGCAUGCCUGUUCGAGCGUCAUUUCAACCCUCGACUUCCCUUUGGGGAAAUCGGCGUUGGGGACCGGCCGUAUACCGCCGGCCCCGAAAUGAAGUGGCGGCCCGUCCGCGGCGACCUCUGCGUAGUAAUCCAACUCGCACCGGAACCCCGACGUGGCCACGCCGUAAAACCCCCGACUUCUGAACGUUGACCUCGGAUCAGGUAGAUSMAUACCCGCUGAACUUAAGCAUAUCAAUAAGGCGGAGGA
rnacentral:rRNA from 1 species